rnacentral:misc_RNA from 1 species
AUGCAUGCAGCAUCGUUAUCGUAGGAUAUGCUUGCUUAUCACUUAAAAUUGUUGAGGUCCUAGAAAUGUUUGUGUUUUAUCGUAAUUUUCUGCCAUAUUGAAUUUAAGUACUUGAAUUUUACGUAUUGGAUAUACGUUUAAGGAGGAAUGCGGUAAGGAUAAUUAUGGAAGUUGACCUGUUCAUGUUAGUGGUCUUGGGAACAGCCAUUACCGCAGCUGUCUCUUCUUCUCCGAACCUGUACAGAACAGUGAGAAAAAAUGGCUUCCAUAGGGAACUCUUCACCAAGAUUUUUAUUCCUACCUCGCUGAUAGACGCAAAAUUUUGACAGUCCAGCAGUUGACAUUGAGAAGCCAAAAGAGUUAUCUCCCAAUCUGGUAUUCAUAAUUUACCCUCAGCAAUUUACAGCGAUUGGACCAGAGUACGUGACAAACGUGACUGUUCCAGUUCACAUUCGCUAUCACCAGCCCUCUUCAAGAUAUGACACAGUCCAAAUACAGCUUAAAAAUCCCAGGCUCUAUCUUCUUUGUCAGGUAAUUGACAAGUCAAUUCAAAUGAAUAAGAAACAAUUCCCAUGUAACAGUUUAGACAACAAUUGUCUUUGGACUGAGAUAAAGUACAAAACAGAUGUGAUCAACAUAGAGUUUGAUGUCCCCGUGGGGAGCCUCCAUCAUCAGGGUUCUGUAAUUAGUGUAACUUUGGCAGUGACCAUAGCCUGUUGUCUUUAUUUAUCAUCAAAGAUGUUGCAUACCCAUGUAAAAUAAAAUUGCAAAAUAAU